rfam:Cuculus canorus isolate BGI_N303 unplaced genomic scaffold scaffold8, whole genome shotgun sequence.
CCUUUGCUUUAACAUGGAGGUACCUGCUGCAUAAAAAAGUAAGUGCUUCCAUGUUUCAGUGGCGG